UGCAGUCGAGCGGAACGAUCCCAGCUUGCUGGGAGGCGUCGAGCGGCGGACGGGUGAGUAAUGCAUAGGAAUCUGCCCGAUAGUGGGGGAUAACCUGAGGAAACUCAGGCUAAUACCGCAUACGUCCUACGGGAGAAAGCAGGGGCUCUUCGGACCUUGCGCUAUCGGAUGAGCUUAUGUCGGAUUAGCUGGUUGGUGAGGUAACGGCUCACCAAGGCGACGAUCCGUAGCUGGUCUGAGAGGAUGAUCAGCCACAUCGGGACUGAGACACGGCCCGAACUCCUACGGGAGGCAGCAGUGGGGAAUAUUGGACAAUGGGGGCAACCCUGAUCCAGCCAUGCCGCGUGUGUGAAGAAGGCCCUCGGGUUGUAAAGCACUUUCAGUGAGGAAGAAUGCUUGUCGGUUAAUACCCGGCAAGGGAGACAUCACUCACAGAAGAAGCACCGGCUAACUCCGUGCCAGCAGCCGCGGUAAUACGGAGGGUGCGAGCGUUAAUCGGAAUUACUGGGCGUAAAGCGCGCGUAGGCGGCUUGAUAAGCCGGUUGUGAAAGCCCCGGGCUCAACCUGGGAACGGCAUCCGGAACUGUCAGGCUAGAGUGCAGGAGAGGAAGGUAGAAUUCCCGGUGUAGCGGUGAAAAUGCGUAGAGAUCGGGAGGAAUACCAGUGGCGAAGGCGGCCUUCUGGACUGACACUGACGCUGAGGUGCGAAAGCGUGGGUAGCAAACAGGAUUAGAUACCCUGGUAGUCCACGCCGUAAACGAUGUCGACUAGCCGUUGGGGUCCUCGAGACCUUUGUGGCGCAGUUAACGCACUAAGUCGACCGCCUGGGGAGUACGGCCGCAAGGUUAAAACUCAAAUGAAUUGACGGGGGCCCGCACAAGCGGUGGAGCAUGUGGUUUAAUUCGAUGCAACGCGAGAUCUUUACCUACUC
rnacentral:rRNA from 1 species